GUGUCACUCCGAAUAGCGCGGAUGUUGCAGCGGAAUCAACAAGUCCACUUUGAGUGACAGCCGGGCUCCGCUCCUCUGACGUGCGCUCCUGGAGACACGCCCCAGCGGAAGACGACAGGUAAAGAACAAUAAUUUUUGGAACAUUAGAGUAGGUCCUCAAUCCAGGCAAGCCGCACAAACAUAAGUCUCCAGGGUGGACGGCUGAACACAGGAUUUGUGGUACCGGCGCAGGCAGCAAAGACAGCUAAUCUGAAAAUUUGGAUCAAUAAAGACAAUUCAAUGAUAACACCACUGUUAACUAUAAGUAUCCAUGUAAAUAGUUGUACAUGCUCACCCAGCCGGAGUCUGUUUAGUUCCUAGAGUUUGCCGUCGGUCACCUGUUCCUGUCUCAUGGCCGACUCCCUAUGGUUUAUUCACUUGUAUUAGGAUUUUGAUGUUACAUUAUUGUUCAAUAGUUCUGUACAUUUUAAAUUACGAAGACAUGCCUUUAAUUAUCAUCAAUUAUGUGUGAUUUUUCAAGAUGAGUUUUAUGUUUGAUCAUUGCUUUAAAUACAUUUAAAUUGUGAAGGUUGAUUUCAAGUAUGUGUUAUGUGUUAAGUUAGAGUUAAACUUGGAAUUUCAAUAAUGUUUAUUUUUUAUUAAAAAAAAUCUAUAUUUCAUAAUUACAUAAAGUUACAUUUGAGAACAUCUACUCUUGCCUGUAUUAUUUCUUCAAAGUCCCAUGGCCCACCCACAUAAAACACAAAUACAAAACACAGCCCACCUACUCAAGUUUUAAGUCCCACCCACCCAUUUCACAAGUCCCGAACAAAAGUCAAGUCACCUUUAUUUAUGGAGCACUUUUUACAAUGCAGAUUGUGUGAAAGCAGCUUCACAGUGAUAACUGGUAAUUGAUUUGGCUGAACAUCAGCUCUUUAGGAAAAUAAUGUCAUUCUCCAGUUUAGGUUUAUUAUGUAUUGAUUCAUUCUGUUGUAAGUAUCAGUAGUUAUUAAUUUUGUUAAUUUAUAUAUGUAAAAGCACGAGAAAAAACAAAAAACAAAAACAAGACUCUAAUCUACUCGCCUUAUCAUAUUGCAAAUAAAUGAACCAUUAGAAACAUAUGUGAUGCCUCACUUGCGCCACUUGUGCCAAAACUCAACAGGGCCUCCUUUCCCAACGGAACCUGACAGAGACACCGGACCAAAUUUAUAGGUUUAUAUGACAAUAACGAAUAAAUAAAAUCAAAUAUUCAAAGACAUCUUUCAAGUCUAACUUCUAAUGAUGCACUCUCUCUCUCUCUCACAAACACACACACACACAAACACACACUCCUGUGCACACUCACACACACAUGUGCACACACACACACACACACACACACACAAACUGGCUGGAAAACUGAUUUUAUACAGGCUUGUAAUA